GACAGAGGGUGCAAACGUUGUUCGGAAUUACUGGGCGUAAAGCGCGUGUAGGCGGCAUGACAAGUCGGGUGUGAAAGCCCUGGGCUCAACCUAGGAAGUGCACUCGAUACUGUCGUGCUAGAGUCCCGGAGAGGGUGGUGGAACUCUCGGUGUAGAGGUGAAAUUCGUAGAUAUCGAGAAGAACACCGGUGGCGAAGGCGGCCACCUGGACGGUGACUGACGCUGAGACGCGAAAGCGUGGGGAGCAAACAGG
rnacentral:rRNA from 1 species